rfam:Brachypodium distachyon strain Bd21 chromosome 4, whole genome shotgun sequence.
AGUAUACUCUCUCCGUCCCAUAUUAAGUGAAUCAAAAUUUUUCAAAUAUGGAUGUAUCUAUAUGCAAAAAACGUUUAGAUACAUGUAAUAUUUCGAUACUUAAUAUGGGACGGAAGGAGUAUAUA